GAUGAACGCUGGCGGCGUGCCUAAUACAUGCAAGUCGAGCGAACGGACGAGAAGCUUGCUUCUCUGUUGUUAGCGGCGGACGGGUGAGUAACACGUGGAUAACCUACCUAUAAGACUGGGAUAACUUCGGGAAACCGGAGCUAAUACCGGAUAAUAUUUUGAACCGCAUGGUUCAAAAGUGAAAGACGGUCUUGCUGUCACUUAUAGAUGGAUCCGCGCUGCAUUAGCUAGUUGGUAAGGUAACGGCUUACCAAGGCAACGAUGCAUAGCCGACCUGAGAGGGUGAUCGGCCACACUGGAACUGAGACACGGUCCAGACUCCUACGGGAGGCAGCAGUAGGGAAUCUUCCGCAAAGGGCGAAAGCCUGACGGAGCAACGCCGCGUGAGUGAUGAAGGUCUUCGGAUCGUAAAACUCUGUUAUUAGGGAAGAACAUAUGUGUAAGUAACUGUGCACAUCUUGACGGUACCUAAUCAGAAAGCCACGGCUAACUACGUG
rnacentral:rRNA from 1 species